rnacentral:snoRNA from 1 species
ACUUCUCCCGCUGGGCAUUGCAGUGAACGACUGUCUGAGAGCAGAAUGUUCAGCAUCUACAGCUACUAGGGCAGCAUCUGUAUCUCCAGAAGAGAAAU